UUACAAACCAAGGGGUGUUCUGAACACCAAGAACUGCUAAUUCUUACCGCUGAAGUUAAAAUCCUC
rnacentral:tRNA from 1 species